AACGAACGCUGGCGGCAGGCCUAACACAUGCAAGUCGAGCGCACUUAUUUCCUUCGGGUUAUAGGCGAGCGGCGGACGGGUUAGUAACGCGUGGGAACGUACCCUUUACUACGGAAUAGCCUUUGGAAACGAAGAGUAAUACCGUAUACGCCCUUUGGGGGAAAGAUUUAUCGGUAAAGGAUCGGCCCGCGUUAGAUUAGAUAGUUGGUGGGGUAAUGGCCUACCAAGUCUACGAUCUAUAGCUGGUUUGAGAGGAUGAUCAGCAACACUGGGACUGAGACACGGCCCAGACUCCUACGGGAGGCAGCAGUGGGGAAUCUUAGACAAUGGGCGAAAGCCUGAUCCAGCCAUGCCGCGUGAGUGAUGAAGGCCUUAGGGUUGUAAAGCUCUUUCACCGGUGAAGAUAAUGACUGUAGCCGGAGAAGAAGCCCCGCUAACU
rnacentral:rRNA from 1 species